UACGAAGGGGGCUAGCGUUGCUCGGAAUCACUGGGCGUAAAGCGCACGUAGGCGGCCUGUUAAGUCGGGGGUGAAAUCCUGGGGCUCAACCUCAGAAUUGCCUCCGAUACUGGCAGUCUCGAGUGCGGGAGAGGUGAGUGGAAUUCCCAGUGUAGAGGUGAAAUUCGUAGAUAUUGGGAAGAACACCAGUGGCGAAGGCGGCUCACUGGCCCGUAACUGACGCUGAGGUGCGAAAGCGUGGGGAGCAAACAGG
rnacentral:rRNA from 1 species